CUCCCAUACACCGGGCCUCGGACGUACAGCUAGUGCUAGUUUUGGUGGUACUAUCACAGCUUCUUGGCUGCAACUGAGUACUUCCACAAGUGCACUAGGUACAAUAUUUACUCCAUUUGUCUUACUAGUAACAGAAACCAAAUGGUUCAAGAGAUCAAGUGGUUUCACUACCCCUUUCCCUUCAGUGUAUCACAGCUUCUUGGCUGCAACUGAGAACUUCCACAAGUGCACUAGGUACAAUAUUUACUCCAUUUGUCUUACUAGUAACAGAAACCAAAUGGUUCAAGAGAUCAAGUGGUUUCACUACCCCUUUCCCUUCAGUUUCAAUCCUGUGCGAAAACCAAAACAAUUAAAAACAAUGGUACUAAUGUAUUUAGAUAACAUGAGCUAUAGUAUUUUCGACAUGGGACAUAGAUAUAUAUGUGAAAAAUCAGUAAAAUUCUAACAAAUAUUAGAUUACAACAACACAACAAAAACAGUAAAUUACAUA
rnacentral:lncRNA from 1 species